GAUGAACGCUAGCGGCAGGCCUAAUACAUGCAAGUCGAACGGUAACAUGAGUAGCAAUACUUGAUGACGAGUGGCGCACGGGUGCGUAACGCGUAUGCAAUCUACCUUUAACUGGUGAAUAGCCCGAAGAAAUUCGGAUUAACACACCAUAGUAUAUUUGAAUGGCAUCAUUUAAAUAUUAAAACUCCGGUGGUUAAAGAUGAGCAUGCGUGACAUUAGCUAGUUGGUGAGGUAAUGGCUCACCAAGGCUACGAUGUCUA
rnacentral:rRNA from 1 species